rnacentral:lncRNA from 1 species
GCUCUCUCUCUUUUUCUCUCUCCAUGUGUGUGCACUGAGGAAAAGCCAUUUGAGAACACCGUGAGAAGGUGACCAUCUGCAAGUCAGGAAGAGAGAGCUCACCAGGAACCAAAGUGGCCGUCACCUUGAUCUUGGACUUCCCAGCAUCUAAAACUGUGUUAUCUCCUCAUAACUCCUUGACAGUGCCUGCUUCCUGAAGGACCAAAACUGGCACAGAAGGAAGGAAGAUCAGAAACAGUUCACAUUUACAUGGAAUGGACAACCACAUACAUUCAUAGUUUUAUCCCAGGGCUGUGUUAAUUCUCUUGCUCCUUGUCAAUGAUAUAGCCCAAAGAGUUGUAAACCGCCUGGACUUCCUGCAGAACAUCACAUUGAUCCAUGACAUUGAUG